UCGCUGCACUUUUGAAAAUUCCGGGUACGGUUUAGUAAGUGGCCCACCUAUUUCGGGGUAUUGCGUCCAAAGGGGUGACCCGAUCCAAAAAAAAAUUGCACACACUUGUAGCCAAGGGUCUACCCAUUACUUUAACAGCCACUAUUGUAAUUUUUGGUCACUAAUUUAUUUACAAAUUGGGUUUGAAAUAUGCCCUUUUUUGUAAAAUUCGGAAAA